rnacentral:tRNA from 1 species
GGAGAGGUGCCAGAGUGGUUGAUCGGGGCGGUCUCGAAAACCGUUUUCCGUAUAAUAGCGGAACGUGGGUUCGAAUCCCACCCUCUCCACCA